rnacentral:lncRNA from 1 species
UGAGGAGCCACCUUGACCACUGUAAAGAAUCCCAGGCAGCAGGCAGGUGGCGUGUGGAAUUAUCUUAAGGCGUCACUAGGAAAGGAUUUCCGGACAGUCAUUUUGAGAAGCUGAGAGAAAAGAAGGCAGAAGCAGAAGGAUGGCAGAAGGAGGGAGUUGACAAAAGGAUCAGAGGUAUUCCUGAGCAUAUCCUUGAUUCCUGGGCCCCUCUGGACUAAGCAGCUUGAGCAGAGGAGGUUGUCAACUCUGUGAAGGCACAGAGCAUGUCUGUCUCCUCCACUCCCAACCUGGCCCAGUGCUCAGUUCAUAGCAGCUGCUUAAUAAAUAUCUGCUGGCCAUGGGGGUCUCCACCAGCCUCCGAGCUGGAGGAGAAAGGAGAGCUCUGUCGGAACAGAGGAAGGAGGGUCGCAAAGAAGGCUGCACACCCGGCUCCCAGACAGAUCCUGGUGUCUCUCCACCCAGGAUCUCCU